rnacentral:rRNA from 1 species
GUCUACAGCCAUACCUGUGCCCAAUCUCAUCUGAUCUUGGAAGCUAAGCAGGGUUGGGCUUGAUUAGUACUUGGAUGGGAGAAAAUACAAGAGAACUGACC